UGGGGAAUUUUGGACAAUGGGGGAAACCCUGAUCCAGCCAUCCCGCGUGUGCGAUGAAGGCCUUCGGGUUGUAAAGCACUUUUGGCAGGAAAGAAACGUCAUGGGUUAAUACCCCGUGAAACUGACGGUACCUGCAGAAUAAGCACCGGCUAACUACGUGCCAGCAGCCGCGGUAAUACGUAGGGUGCAAGCGUUAAUCGGAAUUACUGGGCGUAAAGCGUGCGCAGGCGGUUCGGAAAGAAAGAUGUGAAAUCCCAGAGCUCAACUUUGGAACUGCAGUUUUAACUACCGAGGUAGAGUGUGUCAGAGGGAGGUGGAAUUCCGCGUGUAGCAGUGAAAUGCGUAGAUAUGCGGAGGAACACCGAUGGAGAAGGCAGCCUCCUGGGAUAACACUGACGCUCAUGAACGAAAGCGUGGGGAGCAAACAGG
rnacentral:rRNA from 1 species